UUAACCACAUCUGCCUAGUUGCUUAGCCAGUCUCUUGCUAAUGUAAUACUUUUGAGUGAUACUGUCUUAUGAAACUUUGAGUCUCUGAGAUCCCAGAAUUUCUCCACUGCUUCUGGUUUUCUGUCCUACAGUGCAUAAAAAGGAGCCAAGUUUCACCUGUCUGCCCUCAGCCUCCCACCAGCUCACCAUCUGGCAUCUCUGGCAGAAAUCUCUCAUCAGAAGCUAACUUCACUGGACUCCCGGGCCGUCAGAGUGAGCAGGGCGGUCUGGAACACACAGAUGAAGCCAUGGGCUGAUUUGAGGUGUGUGCACCUGCCUGUGGUCCUGGAAGCUGGGGGUGAUGAAUUAGUAGCCUCAGGGCCCUCUUUGGACCCUUUCAGGGUGGGAUGGGUGUCCCAGUGCCCACUCUUCCCUAGCAAGUCCCCCAUCACCUGUGUCCAUGCGUCCCCAGGGAACAGGAGUAGCAAGCAGCCUAACGUUCACACUUGUCCAGGCUACCUAGUGACUGAACAGAGUGGAGAACUUGGAUAGGAGCCUCGCUGGAAAGGAAAACCAAUUCCAUCCACUAUUCCCACCUCCCAGAGUGGAGACAAGGAAAGGCAGGGAUUUUCCCUUAGCCAUCACGCAGUCGUAGCCCCUGCACCAUAAAACACUGUGAGGUGUGACUGAUCCUUCAAGCUGCACUCAGCCAGGAAGGAACCAUGGAAAGCCGGAUCUGCUUCAGCUCUGGAGCUGUGUGCUAACAGAGCAGGAAUGAGGCAUGGGCUCAGGUCUCUGGCUCCAACUGCUUCCUUUGCAUCAGUCCCUUGAGUGCUAGGGAUGCCAGGAUGAGAGCUGCUGACCUGGAGGUGGCUUUGCCUCCCCUGCUCCUGGAGCUCCUGUGGCACUGAGGACAGCUUCCCCAGUGACAGCCAGCAGGGGCCUGGGGUCAAGAGCACUCAGUUAGGGGUCAGAGAGACCUGGGCUUGGGCCUGGGGUCCCAGCUCUCCUUGGCUCUGGGGUGGCGGCAGGCACCGCUUCACUCAGCCUCAGUUUCCUGUUAAUGAAUGCAGACAGCAGUGCUGACAUGGACGGCAUGUGCCUCGGUGCUGUCCACAUCCAAAGUAAACUAAUAACAUAAAAUUAGGUGCUGUCCAAGGCAGGGCGCUGUGGAUGCUCAUCCGAGAGGCCGUGAAGCGUGGUUGACAGGGAGGAGGCGCUGGCCCCACUCUGCUUCCUCCUCGUGCCGACGCAGCCCUGUGCUUUAGUGUUCACAAUUAUGAAGUAAAAGGUGACAGUUCCUGUGCCUUGAGAACAGGGCAGAGGGGAAGAGGUAGUUUCACAAGAUUCCCCCCAAGUGCCCCGAGAGCUGAAAAAUCCACAACUGAACGACUCAAUUAGAACUAGAUGUGGGGCUUUCAUAUUUAGAUCUUUAAAAAAAAUUAACACACAUCUCACUGCUGUGGUAAUAAGCACCCGUAAGUGCAGCACCAGUGGCACGCAGGAGACGCUCGCUGUGGUGUCUUGUUCUCAAGCACAGAAGCCUCAAUGCUGCCUGGGGUGAAGAUGGCACCUCAGUGUACCCCCUAGCCAUGCCUGUGCCCUCUUCCGGCCGGCUCACUGAGUCCGAGGGCCCAGAUGACAGAGCCUUUCUGUCAACAGCAGACUCACAGUAGUAGUGUCUUUCUUAGAGGGCUGUUGGAUGGUCAAACCUGUAAAGGUUUAUACAGAUACUGCCUGGUACAUGGUAGGUAGUGUGGUGUUUGGUAAUGGUUUGCAUUUUGUCACUCGCCAGUGUCCCUGCAAUUCUCUUUCCUGCCAGGCUGACUGCCUGAGGGUGGACAACACCGAUGGGUGGGUUACUUGGGACAGCGUCCCCGGACGGCCUCAGUCCUCCAUUGUCACUCUUGGUUUUUCAACACUUUCUGUGCUCGUAGAUGUAAUUAAAACGUUUGUUUAUGUGCGAGUGAGCAAACCUAAGAGGAAGGUGACUGACUGCCUGCUGUUCUGUGCGCUGUCUCUGGCUCUCUGAGUUUGUCUCAGACGCCGAUGUGGGGGGUGGGGGGGAAUCGCCUCUUUCCUCUUGGGGGCUGAGACCCCAGGCGGGAGCUGGGCUCUGCAAGCCUUUGAGGUCUGUAGGAGGAAGAUGUGCGCUCUGCCUUUAGGGGACGCUGCUCUUCCGGGAUCUCCACUGCCAGGAAAGGGGAGGGCAGAGGCCAACAGCUGUGGUGACAUCAGCAAGGGGCCAGAAUCAAGUUACUCAGCCCAGAGUUCAAGUUUUCAGUUCCAGUUUCCAGAGUGCAAGUUGGGAGUUCAGAGUUCUCUUCCUGUUGAAAUGGGAGCUUCCUGGGGCAAGCAGAGGACUCUUAUUUAAAGCUUUGUUUGUGGGCCUUUUCUGGCAGAACCACCUCCUCCAGUGAUCGCUGGAGCCUGAGAGAAGGCAGGAAACUGAAUCCCACAACCAGGGCGGAAGGAGGGGGUGAGGACUCAGCAAGCUGUGAAUCAUCAUUCCCCAGCACCAGCCAGCCUGUCUCCUGAACUCAGCUUGGCCAUGGCCUCUCGAGGUGGGAGUCUGGGCUCCAGUUCAGAUGAAGACAGCAGCAUGAGCUUUCGGGAGAAGCUUCUGCGGAUCAACUUGAGCCUGGGGGCCCAGGACGUGGAGGGCAUGAAAUUCCUCUGCAUGGGGCUGGUCUUUGAGAAGAGGCUGGAGAGGUCCAGCUCAGCCUCAGAUCUGUUUGACCUCCUCCUGGAAGAGGAGCUGCUCAGUGAGGACAAUGCCUUCUUCCUGGCCGAGCUCUUGUACAGCAUCAGGCAGAACUCACUGCUGCGGCACCUCGGAUACACCAGGGAGUGUGUGGAGCAGUGGCUGCCCACCCGAAGGAGGCUGUCCCUGUUCAGAAACCUGCUCUACGAGCUGUCAGAAGCCAUCGACUCAGAGAAGCUGAAGGACAUGACCUUCCUUCUUCAGGACCACAUUCCCAAAACCCAGAUGACUUCUCUAAGUUUACUGGCAUGUCUAGAGAAACAAACUUUAAUAGAUGAAGACAAUCUGAGGUUACUGGAGAAAGUCUUCAAAUCUGUUGCGCCCAACCUUGUGAAAAAGAUAGAGAACUACAAAAGAGAGAGAGCUGCCCAGGAAGCGAUGCCUCCCACAGACAGGGAAACGGAGUCACUGCAUCAAGGAGAGGAAGAAGUGUUUUCCCAUUCAGACAUUAAACAGCUUGUUCAGGCUUUACCGGAGGUGGAUGUGUACAGGAUGGACCGGAAGCACAGAGGGCACUGUGUCAUCAUCAACAACCACAGCUUUGAGGGCCUGAACGAGAGGACAGGGACGCACAUGGAUGCUGAGUACCUGAGGCGUGUGUUCCAGUGGCUUGGCUUCACUGUGCACAUGCACCAUGACGUGACCAGAGAAGGCAUGGAGAAGAUUCUGAGGGAGCAAAGGAGUCACCCGGGCCAUGCUGAUGGGGACUGCUUUGUGUUCUGCAUUCUGACCCAUGGAAAGCUUGGGGCCGUCUACUCCUCAGACAAGGCUCUCAUCCCCCUGCGGGAGAUCACAUCGCACUUCACAGCCCAGCAGUGCCAGGCACUGGCUCACAAACCAAAGCUCUUUUUCAUCCAGGCCUGUCAAGGUGAAGCGAUGCACCCUUCUGUGCUCAUUGAAGCAGAUGCUCUGAACCCUGAGUGUGUGUCCCCUUCCCUUCAGGGUAGUAUUCCAGAGGAGGCAGAUUUCCUGCUCGGUCUGGCCACUGUCCCUGGCUAUGUGUCCUUUCGGCACAAGGAGAAAGGUAGCUGGUUUAUUCAGUCUCUGUGCAAUCAUCUGAAGAACCUGGUCCCAAGGCGACAGGACAUCCUGUCCAUCCUCACGGCCGUCAACCAGGAUGUGAGCCAGCAGGCAGACGCCAGCGGGAGGAAGAAGCAGAUGCCCCAGCCUGCCUUCACACUCAGGAAGAAGCUGGUGUUCCCCGUGCCUUCAGAAGCACUCUGACCAUAGCAGAGUUGUCAUCAGCUCCGUGGCCUGGAUGGGGCCUUUCUUGUUCCUAGGACUCAGCUGGCCCGGGAUUUGGUGAGGGAUGCUAGCCAGCCUCCCGGCGCUGGAAAAUGCCUUGCUUUGGGACAAUGAGGAACUUCUUUUGAAGUCCUGGAAACAUAUUGUGAAUCCUUGAAGGGUUGAUCGAAGGGAGUGGAAAAUCCCAUGGUGGAGACCUCCAUUCACAGGUGAGGCAGCCGAGGCCCAGGAGGCAAAGCGACCCGCUCACGCCCCGCCAGCCAGUGGGAGAGGGUCCUGCGUCCAGCAGGGUGGACUAGAACACCACGGGGCACAACAGGACGUACGACUGCACAGGGGAUGGAGGUCCUCGUGGAAGAGCCAAAGAAUGAGGAGGAAGAGCUCUCAGGAAUGCUUGGCUUUAUAAUUAUUUACAUGCAGCCCAAAUUCACGGCCAGUGAAUUUGCUGAGAAGUGUUUAUAGGAGUCCUGUUACCACAUAGUUGAUCAUUUCGUGAAUUUGGGUGUAGCCUGCCUGAUCGGGGAAUAAGACUGAUCAUACGUCGGGAUGGGCCUCCCAAGCAUCGCUCGUACCAGUCAAGGCUAAAACCUGGUCAUGUUUGGAGACAGGGUCUCGCUGUGAGUCCAGGCUGGGCUUGAACUCAUGGGAAUCCUCCUGCCUCGGCCUCCCGAGUGCCAAACUACAGGCCUGUGUUACCAUGCCCAGCUGUCACAGUUUUUGUCUAGUUGGAUACACGUAGCCUGUGGCCACUUUGCAGUCCCUGACUCAAGUAAAGGCUGGUGUGGUACAAAGAGCACAGGGUCUGGAGAUCCAAGGCUUGGGUUUCCAUUCUGCACAGCAGCUCUGGGCUGAGACACCAAGUCAAGCUCUUUCUGAGCCUUCUCUAUAGGGAGACAUUAGUGGUGGGGAUGGGAGAGUGUGCCCCAGGGUGCCCAUUUAAACUGAAUUGUGCCCCUGGGGCAGAGUCUGUGGUUAGGAACCAGAUGGAGAGAGCAGGACUCAAGGUCCCUCACAUCUAACAGCAGCGAUGCCCCAACAUCCUGGAGCCAGGCCUGGGUCCCCCUGGUUCCCAGGGUCCCCAGCACAGCAGGGCGGCUCUUGGCUCCAAGUCCAGUUCCCACCACUGAUGAAAUCUCCUCAGAAGCACUUGAUGUUGAUGUCCUGCACCUGUGGUCUGUGUCUUGUUUCUGUUUUGCUAGAGCGUGGUGCUUUUGCAAGAUUAAAUUCUAGAAUCGGAAAA